rnacentral:rRNA from 1 species
GAUGAACGCUGGCGGCAUGCCUAAUACAUGCAAGUCGAACGGGGUGCUUGCACCCAGUGGCGAACGGGUGAGUAACACGUAUCUAAUCUGCCCAUUAGUGGGGGAUAACAGUUGGAAACGACUGCUAAUACCGCAUGAUAUACAUACAAGGCAUCUUGGAGUGUUGAAAGGUUCUUUUGAAUCGCUAAUGGAUGAGGAUGCGGCGUAUUAGCUAGUUGGUGGGGUAAUGGCUCACCAAGGCAGUGAUACGUAGCCGACCUGAGAGGGUGAGCGGCCACAUCGGGACUGAGACACGGCCCGAACUCCUACGGGAGGCAGCAGUAGGGAAUUUUUCACAAUGGGCGAAAGCCUGAUGGAGCAAUGCCGCGUGAUUGAUGAAGGUCUUCGGAUCGUAAAGAUCUGUUGUUAGGGAAGAAACGCCAGGAAAAGAGAAAGUUCUUGGUUUGACGGUACCUAACCAGAAAGCCACGGCUAACUAUGUGCCAGCAGCCGCAGUAACAC